UAAAGGGGUUUUGCACCCCCACCUGGAAUUCAAUCUAGGUGUGGGGUUUGGUUGUUUUCUGUAUUACAACUUGACUUCAUUCAUUUCAAUGAAACUGAGCUGCAAUACCACACAAAACAGUUCAGGUGCUGUUUUCUAAUCCUGGAUAACCCCUUUAAGUGUGUGGUAAUGCACUUCACUCCCCAGCUUGGCUCUCGCUCCAAAUCAGGAGAUGGGCUCCAUGCAUAGACUGACAUGUUAUCUCACUCAUCCUCACUUCUUAGCCUCUUCUUAUGUACAGGGCUCUGUGGGGGAGAUUUAUCAAAACCUGUGCAGAGGAAACCUGCCCAUAGCAACCAAUCAGAUUGCUUCUUUUAUAUUUAAAAAGGCCUCUGAAAAAUUAAAGCAGCAAUCUGAUUGGUUGCUAUAGGCAACUGGUCAACUUUUCCUCCACACAACCCUGUACAUCAGGUGAGGGUGAGCCAGGAGGUGCUUACUGUGGCACUUGAGGCGCUCUGUCCCAUCUCCUUCACACUUGGAUGAAAAAUAAAAAGGCAGUUUUCUAAAAUUGGCAACCACCAUGAGCUACAGGUCAGCUACUCGAAAAGAUUUCCCAUGGCAUGUGCAGCUCUUAGCAGCAGAUACAGCUGACAUAGCUUGAUGACUUGUGCAAGUGGAUUUAAUGUUACUGCUGAUCAGUGUUUUGAUAAAUCGCCCCCAAAAUGCUCUAAUUAGACACAGAGGAGGAGAAAAAAGAAAGUGUUGAACUUCCCAUAGGACAAAGAAGUAUGCUUUCUGAUUGAUCCAUUGUGGUGGUGGACAGAUGCUAUAUGUGGACUGCAUAAGUAUUACUCAAGGAGAUCCUUCAAUAAAAUCUUUGCUUACCAAAUUCCUUAGGCUAAUAAUGAACCCUGCCACACUAAAG